rnacentral:ncRNA from 1 species
AAAAAGCCUCCUGGCUUUUAAUUUUUGUGAAUUUUUGUCUUAAAUGUGAGCAUUUGCGUGAAAAAUUUUGGUUUUUAAAUAAUAUUUUUUUUUUUAAGCUGCAAUAAGUACAUUUAUUAUUUUAACAAUUUGAGAAAUAGCAAAAAAUUUAAAAAGCGUGAACAAAAUUUGUGCCAGCAGUUGCGGUUACACAGAUUAUGCGACAGAAAUUUAUUUAGUUAGGUUAAGAUUUUUUUUAAAAACAAAAAAAAAUUUUUUAAGUGAAAUUUUAAAAUUUUUUUAAUUUUUUUAUUUUUGAGGCCGAGAAAUUUUUUUUAAGACUAGGAUUAGAUACCCUAUUAUAGAAACGUAUUUGUUGAGAAGCUUUUAUUAGUAUUAGUUAAGUUCUUGAAAAUAAAGGGAAUUGGCGGUGUUUUAGUCUAUUCAGAGGAGCCUGUCCUGUAAUUGAUAAUCCACGUUUAGGAGGUCUUAUUUUUUAAGUUUAUAUAUCGCCGUGUUUUUGAAUAUCUUCAUAGGGCUAAAUUUUCAUAUUUUGGAUAAAAGAGAAAGCAGGUCAAGAUGUAGCUUAUAGGUAAGUAGUGAUGGGCUACAGUUAAAAUAUUAUUGGAUUAUUUGUUUGAAAAAUUUAUGAAAUUGGAUUUGAUGGUAAUUUUAUUUUUAUUUUUAAGAUGAUUUAAGCUCUAGAACAUGCACAUAUCGCCCGUCGCUUUCUCUAUAAAGAGGAAUAAGUCGUAACAAAGUAGAUGUACUGGAAAGUGUAUCUAGAAGCCA